rnacentral:rRNA from 1 species
AACGAACGCUGGCGGCGCGCCUAACACAUGCAAGUCGAACGGCCGAUGGGGCUUGCUUCAUCGGCAGUGGCGGACGGGUGAGUAACGCGUGGGGACCUGCCUUUCGGCUCGGGACAACCGUGGGAAACUACGGCUAAGACCGGAUACGCCCUGGGUGCAAAUCCAGGGGAAAGAUUCAUCACCGAGAGAUGGACCCGCGUCCGAUUAGCUAGACGGUGGGGUAACGGCCUACCGUGGCUUCGAUCGGUAGCCGGCCUGAGAGGGUGGCCGGCCACACUGGGACUGAGACACGGCCCAGACUCCUACGGGAGGCAGCAGUGGGGAAUCUUGGACAAUGGGGGCAACCCUGAUCCAGCGACGCCGCGUGGGUGACGAAGGCCUUCGGGUUGUAAAGCCCUUUUGCCGGGGACGAUGAUGACGGUACCCGGAGAAUAAGCACCGGCUAACUCCGUGCCAGCCGCCGCGGUAAAAC